rnacentral:rRNA from 1 species
CCUUACCUACUCUUGACAUGGUCGGAAUCCUGCUGAGAGGCGGGAGUGCUCGAAAGAGAACCGGCGCACAGGUGCUGCAUGGCUGUCGUCAGCUUGUGUCGUGAGAUGUUGGGUUAAGUCCCGCAACGAGCGCAACCCUUGUCCUUAGUUGCUACGCAAGAGCACUCUAAGGAGACUGCCGGUGACAAACCGGAGGAAGGUGGGGAUGACGUCAAGUCCUCAUGGCCCUUAUGGGUAGGGCUUCACACGUCAUACAAUGGUCGGAACAGAGGGUUGCCAACCCGCGAGGGGGAGCUAAUCCCAGAAAACCGAUCGUAGUCCGGAUUGCACUCUGCAACUCGAGUGCAUGAAGCUGGAAUCGCUAGUAAUCGCGGAUCAGCAUGCCGCGGUGAAUACGUUCCCGGGUCUUGUACACCCCGCCCGUCACACCAUGGGAGUGGGUUUCCAGAAGU